UUUCUUUCCUUUCUUCCUCGGCCCUUUUAUGACAUGCUAGCCAGUGGCAACUCUUCACGAGUAAGGUUCUCCCGUGACCGUUUUUUAAGGGUACUACAUUCUCACUGCCUGCUGUAACUCCAGGGAUCCUGUCACCCUCUUCUGGUCUCCAAGGGUACUACAUUCUGCCUGCUGUAACUCCAGGGAUCCUGUCACCCUCUUCUGGUCUCCACAGGGUACUACAUUCUGCCUGCUGUAACUCCAGGGAUCCUGUCACCCUCUUCUGGUCUCCAAGGGAAUUCUGAAGGUUUGAAGCCACUAACUGUUUGAUGAAGUUAACUGAAAAAGGAUGGAAGCUGUCAACUGUUUGAUGAAGACAGGGUUUCUCUGUAUAGCCCUGGCUGUCCUGG